rnacentral:lncRNA from 1 species
CAUAAUCACUGUCUGGAAACAGAAAAAGAUUGCUGACCUCUGACCUGGAGAAUAUGGUAGUUAUGAAAGUCAUACAAUCCACUCUAUGAUAUGAUAACUUUAAAAACUCCAGUAGGUUUUCCUUUUUUUAACUAAAACAUAGUUGUAAAGAUCCCAUAUGUGUAGAAUAGGUGGGUCACUCUGGAGUUCUUUGUUUGCCUCCUAGCUCUUCAGCAGAUGAGAGGCACCCUCCAGGUAGUGAGCACACAGAGGAAAGGCUCUGCAACCAGGAAACUACCUUAAGAUGGCUGGCUGGAAAAACCGUUUCAUGGGGUUGCAAACAACAUGACGGUGAGACUCCUUCCUCCACCUCCACCUUUGACCCUAGCACAGGUGCUUCUACAGCAGCCUUUUGUAAUAAGAAAUCAUUUCCUUUGAAAAAUGAAUUAACCGGGGGGAGGAGCGGAGCAAGAUGGCCGAAUAGGAACAGCUCCAGUCUCCAACUCCCAGCACGAGCGACACAGAAGACUGGUGAUUUCUGCACUUUCAACUGAGGUACUGGGGUCAUCUCA